AACGAACGCUGGCGGCAUGCCUAACACAUGCAAGUCGAACGAUUGCCUUCGGGUGAUAGUGGCGCACGGGUGCGUAACGCGUGGGAAUCUGCCCUUAGGUUCGGAAUAACAGCUGGAAACGGCUGCUAAUACCGGAUGAUAUCGCGAGAUCAAAGAUUUAUCGCCUGAGGAUGAGCCCGCGUUGGAUUAGGCAGUUGGUGGGGUAAAGGCCUACCAAGCCGACGAUCCAUAGCUGGUCUGAGAGGAUGAUCAGCCACACUGGGACUGAGACACGGCCCAGACUCCUACGGGAGGCAGCAGUGGGGAAUAUUGGACAAUGGGCGCAAGCCUGAUCCAGCAAUGCCGCGUGAGUGAUGAAGGCCCUAGGGUUGUAAAGCUCUUUUACCCGGGAAGAUAAUGACUGUACCGGGAGAAUAAGCCCCGGCUAACUCCGUG
rnacentral:rRNA from 1 species